rnacentral:rRNA from 1 species
UCGUGAGACAGUUCGGUCCCUAUCCGCCGCGCGCGCAGGAGACUUGAGAGAGGCUGUCCCUAGUACGAGAGGACCGGGAUGGACGAACCUCUGGUGUGCCAGUUGUUCCGCCAGGAGCACGGCUGGUUGGCUACGUUCGGAAGUGAUAACCGCUGAAGGCAUCUAAGCGGGAAGCAUGUCUCAAGAUGAGGUCUCCCACAGGGUAACCUGGUAAGGCCCCCAGUAGAUGACUGGGUUGAUAGGCCGGAGGUAGAAGGCAGUAAUGCUCGGAGCCGACCGGUACUAAUAGGCCGAGGGCUUGUCUUA